UAAAUGUGAAUAUAUAGCAGUACAAACUGUCCAAACUAAAACACACAGAGAGAAAAAAAGACUGAAAAAAAGAAUAAAAUAUAAGUGAACUAUGGGACAACUUCAGUUAGUCUAAUAUAUGUGUAAUUGUGUAACGGGAGUCUGGUGGGAAGAGGAAGCAGAGGAUCAUAAAAAAUAUUUGAAGAAAGAAUAGCCAAAACAUUUCCAAAUUUAAUGCAAACUAUUAAUCCACAGCUAAUUUUUUUUUUUUUUUUGGUAGAGAUGGGGUCUCCCUGUGUGGCCCAGGCUGGUCUUGAACUCCUUCUGUGAUCCUCCCACCUCAGCC
rnacentral:lncRNA from 1 species